rnacentral:lncRNA from 1 species
GUGCAAUGGAAGUCAUCACCUCAAGUUGAGCUAUUUGGUGUGGCUGCAACAAGGUACCCUGGGGUACCUGUUGUUGUUGAGGCCAUUGACCCAGUUGUUGUUGUUGAGGUUGUUGGAAAGAACACUGUCCGAGCUGCUUCUGUUGUUGUUGGGGUUGGGAGACACCUUGGACCGACUGUUGGGGUUGUUGCUGCUGAGGUUGGUUCAAACCCUGACCAUGUUGUUGUUCUUGUAGGACGAUCGAGUAGAUGAUGGCACGGAUUGCAUCGUAGCGUGAUUGUUCGGGGAUUUGCGGCAGCUGCCGGCAACAUUGUUGCUGCAUCACAUGGCAACUACUCUGCCACAACAUUUGCGACCUAGCAAGACUUUGUGGCAUUGCCACAGGGCUGCAUUGCUGCUGGAGGAAUACCUUGCAUGGGUUUAGCUGCUGCAAGAUAGAUGGCUGAACAGAUGGUAUUUGUUGUUGCGGUAGAACUGGUUGUUGGUGUUGUGAAAAUGGUGGUUGUUGCAGUAGAAUUGGUUGUUGUUGUUGCUGCGAAAAUGGUGGUUGUUGCUGCUGCUGAGAAAAUGGUGGUUGUUGCUGCGAAAAUGGUGGUUGUUGCGGUAAAAGUGGUUGUUGUUGCUGCGGAAAUUGUUGUUGUUGCUGCGAAAAUGGUGGUUGUUGCGGUAGAAUGGGUUGUUGUUGCUGCGAAAAUGGUGGUUGUUGUUGUGAAAAUGGUGGUUGUUGUUGCUGCGAUAAUGGUGGUUGUUGUUGCUGUGAACAUGGUGGCUGUUGUGGAAAUGGUUGUGGUUGUUGUUGGAUGGGUUGUUGUUGUUGGUACCAUAAUAUUUGUUGUAGUGGUAAUGGUUGUUGUUGCAAUGGUUUCUCCAAGCUAGGGAUGUGGCUAGUCUCCAUUUGUGCAAUGGCACUUGUCGCCGCAACGGCGAGGAGGGCAAAG